CACAUUUUACCAUGAGCCGCAUUCAGAACAUGAGUUACACCAAGCCUCCAUAGACCAUAUCUGUCAUGAGACAUGUACCUGCAGAAAGAAACAAGUUGGGCCACACUUCAUCCACAUGAUUACAUGACAGCUGACCUCCGUGUAAUAUGUCCUCCAGCUGCUCGAUAGUGGGAGAUUCAUACGGAAUGGAAAUGAUCUGUGCAGCUCUGAAUGACACGACCAGGUGUGGAUGUGAGCACUGCAUUAACUCCUGUUCUCCAGUAGAUGUCACUGUGUUCACACUCAUUAGGGUUUACUGGGUGUAAGGUCAGGAGAAUAAAGAAACAUAAUAUUCUCACUGUUCACUGUUUAUCCCAUUCAUUUCACCAUGACAGCUGUUAGAUUGUUUCAGUGAUGAGUGUACUGGUGGUGAACUAGGAUAAUUGGAUUUGAUUUUUGAGCAACAAAUUAUAUUAAAUAAACAUGUCAUACUU